rfam:Sarcoptes scabiei Contig16752, whole genome shotgun sequence.
GUCCGUGUGGCCUAACGGAUAAGGCGUCUGACUUCGAAUCAGAAGAUUGCAGGUUCGAAUCCUGUCACGGACG